AAAAAAUUUAUAAAUCAAUUAAAGAGAAACAACUAUGUAACAAUAAACAGUAUUUUAAUUUUCCCUUUUAUACUUUUCUACACUGUGAUAAACGUUGUUCAGAUGAAUUUGUAAUUUUACUGGUAGAUGCUUUAAAAUUGUUUGCGCACUGUGUAGACGCGAGACUUAAGAUGUUACACUAUGAACGCAUAAAAGCAUAUAAAUUUAUUUUGAAGAUUGAAUGUAUUUUUGAAAAAUGUUAUAUACCGAUAGAAAAUAUUUCUAGUGUUUUAUAUUAUUAUGCUGAUAGUUUAUCUCUUGUGGAAAUGGAACUUGUGACACUGUGUAUUGAUUAUUUCACUAAAUGCUAUUUACGUUUUCAAUUGUAGGUACCUAUGUAAUACUAACCAAUAAGAUAAGUAAGUAGUAUAAGUUAAAGCUAAGGUAAAGUUAUUUUUACCUUAUAAUAUAAUAAAUAAAGUUAAUAUUUAAUAUGAUUGUGUUUAAUUUACACCAUGAGUUCAUGAUGAUGUAUGGAACGUACGGAAAAUAGGAUAAAAAUCAAGAAUAUUUCUUAUUAUACAUAUACGAAUAAGAAAAUAUUAGGUAGAUAGUUAAUAAAAAAAUACAUUUAAAUCGUACAUAAAUUUUGUGCUGAGAUUAAAGUGUUUCAACAUGAUAUCUGCUGAUGUCAAUGUAAUUUCUAAGAAUCCCACACAUUAGUAAUAUUUCAAUUGAAACAGUGUACAUAAAUUCCUUAGUGAUGCACAUUCCAUUACAUGACCAAAUAAUCAUUAAGCUAAUAUUCUCCUUUCCUUGCGGUUGUGUAGAAAAACAAACAGAAAAAUAUGUCUUCAGAUGAGAUUUCUCUAGUGAAUUAUAUUGCAACCAAAAAUCUUGGAAAUCCUAAAUAUGUAGUGAAAAUGGAAAUAUGUAAAAUUGUACAAACAUCAAACAUAGCUGAAGUGAAAACAGUAAUAAAAACACAAUAUUUGGUAAAUGAAGAUUACGAUACUAUAUUGGAGUUUGCUGUAAAAUUAAUAAAUCAAAUUGGAACAAAACUUGGAGAAAAUGCUGACCAGCACGCAUCUUGAGUGAAAUAAGGUACAGGACAUAGUCGUUGAACAAUGAACAUUCCUUUGUGCAUUUGAAAUGUUAUUAAAAUUAAGUUCGUAUAGUAAAUAAAUCUGUAUUAUGUUUGGGCUUUGUUAGGGAUUAUGUUAUAAUAAACUAAAUAUUUAAUUACUUACAUACUUAUUUAGAGCACCACAUACUGUACUACAUAUGGCACUGUGCAUUGAAAGAAAUUAACCUUGAUGUUUAAAUGAUAAAAUAUUAGGUACCUAAGUACUUUACUUGUGUAUGAACUUAUUAAAAAUUAAUAAAAUAAAAAACCAAAAUUACAUAAUUUUUGCUUUUAUUUUUCAUAAUCCUUAAAUCUAGUUAAACAAU